rnacentral:rRNA from 1 species
AUUGAACGCUGGCGGCAGGCCUAACACAUGCGAGUCGAACGGUAACAGGAAGCAGCUUGCUGCUUCGCUGACGAGUGGCGGACGGGUGAGUAAUGUCUGGGAAACUGCCUGAUGGAGGGGGAUAACUACUGGAAACGGUAGCUAAUACCGCAUAACGUCGCAAGACCAAAGAGGGGGACCUUAGGGCCUCUUGCCAUCGGAUGUGCCCAGAUGGGAUUAGCUAGUAGGUGGGGUAACGGCUCACCUAGGCGACGAUCCCUAGCUGGUCUGAGAGGAUGACCAGCCACACUGGAACUGAGACACGGUCCAGACUCCUACGGGAGGCAGCAGUGGGGAAUAUUGCACAAUGGGCGCAAGCCUGAUGUAGCCAUGCCGCGUGUAUGAAGAAGGCCUUCGGGUUGUAAAGUACUUUCAGCGGGGAGGAAGGGAGUAAAGUUAAUACCUUUGCUCAUUGACGUUACCCGCAGAAGAAGCACCGGCUAACUCCGUG